GAAAGCUGAAACUGGAUCCCUUCCUUACACCUUAUACAAAAAUUAAUUCAAGAUGGAUUAAAGACUUAAAUAUUAGACCUACAACCAUAAAAAGAUGUGAGUUAUAUUUUUGUUUAUGUAAUUUUUCUUUUAAAGAAUCCUCCAUUUUUUUGGUUAAUUAUCAGUUGUUUUCUGAUAUGUAGGUAAGAUUUGAUUUUUUAAAAAUCAUGCUUUGCUUUCUUCACAUUGUUCUCUUAAUUAUUUACAAUCAUUCAUUUGAUGGCUGUCUUCUCUACUAAAUUGUAGUAAUCUCCAUCUGGGCAGAGUCUAUGAGUGCUGUCUUCACCACCGGGCCCCCAGGGAAUUUUGACAUGGCACAGCAAGGAGGAGAGUGGCUAAUUUUCCAAAGUUAAGGGCAAGUUGGUUUCAAUAUAGUCACAUGGCCCUGGCUGGAGUUUGGAGAGCUAGGGCGACUCAGGAGGGCUAUAUGG
rnacentral:lncRNA from 1 species